rnacentral:rRNA from 1 species
GAAAGAUUCAUCGGAAGAGGAUGGGCAUGCGGCGCAUUAGCUUGACGGCGGGGUAACGGCCCACCGUGGCGACGAUGCGUAGGGGUUCUGAGAGGAAGGUCCCCCACACUGGUACUGAGACACGGACCAGACUCCUACGGGAGGCAGCAGUGAGGAAUAUUGGUCAAUGGGAGAGAUCCUGAACCAGCCAAGCCGCGUGAGGGAAGACGGCCCUAUGGGUUGUAAACCUCUUUUGUCGGAGAACAAAACCCGGGACGUGUCCCGGACUGCGUGUAUCCGAAGAAAAAGCAUCGGCUAACUCCGUGCCAGCAGCCGCGGUAAUACGGAGGAUGCGAGCGUUAUCCGGAUUUAUUGGGUUUAAAGGGUGCGUAGGCGGUCCGUUAAGUCAGCGGUAAAAUUGCGGGGCUCAACCCCGUCGAGCCGUUGAAACUGGCAGACUUGAGUUGGCGAGAAGUACGCGGAAUGCGCGGUGUAGCGGUGAAAUGCAUAGAUAUCGCGCAGAACUCCGAUUGCGAAGGCAGCGUACCGGCGCCAGACUGACGCUGAGGCACGAAAGCGUGGGGAUCGAACAGGAUUAGAUACCCUGGUAGUCCACGCAGUAAACGAUGAAUGCUGGUUGUCCGGGUCGAAUG